GACGAACGCUGGCGGCGUGCUUAACACAUGCAAGUCGAACGGUAAGGCCCUUCGGGGUACACGAGUGGCGAACGGGUGAGUAACACGUGGGUGAUCUACCCUGCACUUCGGGAUAAGCCUGGGAAACUGGGUCUAAUACCGGAUAGGACUCCGGACUGCAUGGUCUGGGGUGGAAAGCUUUUGCGGUGUGGGAUGGGCCCGCGGCCUAUCAGCUUGUUGGUGGGGUGAUGGCCUACCAAGGCGACGACGGGUAGCCGGCCUGAGAGGGUGACCGGCCACACUGGGACUGAGAUACGGCCCAGGCUCCUACGGGAGGCAGCAGUGGGGAAUAUUGGACAAUGGGCGCAAGCCUGAUGCAGCGACGCCGCGUGAGGGAUGACGGCCUUCGGGUUGUAAACCUCUUUCAGCAUCGACGAAGCGAAAGUGACGGUAGGUGCAGAAGAAGGACCGGCCAACUACGUGCCAGCCGCCGCGGUAA
rnacentral:rRNA from 1 species